rnacentral:rRNA from 1 species
AUUGAACGCUGGCGGCAGGCCUAACACAUGCAAGUCGAACGGUAACAGGAAGCAGCUUGCUGCUUUGCUGACGAGUGGCGGACGGGUGAGUAAUGUCUGGGAAACUGCCUGAUGGAGGGGGAUAACUACUGGAAACGGUAGCUAAUACCGCAUAACGUCGCAAGACCAAAGAGGGGGACCUUCGGGCCUCUUGCCAUCGGAUGUGCCCAGAUGGGAUUAGCUAGUAGGUGGGGUAAAGGCUCACCUAGGCGACGAUCCCUAGCUGGUCUGAGAGGAUGACCAGCCACACUGGAACUGAGACACGGUCCAGACUCCUACGGGAGGCAGCAGUGGGGAAUAUUGCACAAUGGGCGCAAGCCUGAUGCAGCCAUGCUGCGUGUAUGAAGAAGGCCUUCGGGUUGUAAAGUACUUUCAGCGGGGAGGAAGGGAGUAAAGUUAAUACCUUUGCUCAUUGACGUUACCCGCAGAAGAAGCACCGGCUAACUCCGUG